rnacentral:rRNA from 1 species
AGGAUCAUUAUAGUGAAAAGCUAUAGACUUGGUGUCUAAGGAUGAAACCAUAAAGGUUAAUCCUACACCGCCCAACCUUGUUAAUAAAUUUAACGUUACCUCGGUAGGUUAGCCUGCUGGUGGACAAUUUAAAAACCUUUUUAAACAUACCUGUAAAUACAUUUGUCUGAUAAUUUUUAAAAUAAAAUUAAAACUUUCAACAACGGAUCUCUUGGUUCUGGCAUCGAUGAAGAACGCAGCGAAAUGCGAUAAGUAGUGUGAAUUGCAGAAUUCAGUGAAUCAUCGAAUCUUUGAACGCACAUUGCGCCCCUUGGUAUCCCAGGGGGCAUGCCUGUUCGAGCGUCAUUUCUACCAUUCAAGCUUUGCUUGGUUUUGAAUAUAUUGUAGUACUUUAAGUAGUUAUACAUAUUCUAAAUAUAGACGGCAGCAAGUAUAAGUUCUAAGCGUAGCAGUAAAACAUUUCGCUUUUGCACUUAUAUUUUGUUAAACCGAAAUAAAGUAUAUUUACAGUUUGACCUCGGAUCAGGCAGGGAUACCCGCUGAACUUAAGCAUAUCAAUAAGCGGAGGAAAAGAAACCAACAGGGAUUGCCUUAGUAACGGCGAGUGAAGCGGCAAUAGCUCAAAUUUGAAAUCUGGCACCUUUGGGUGUCCGAGUUGUAA